ACGAACGCUGGCGGCGUGCUUAACACAUGCAAGUCGAACGGAAAGGCCCUGCUUUUGUGGGGUGCUCGAGUGGCGAACGGGUGAGUAACACGUGAGUAACCUGCCCUUGACUUUGGGAUAACUUCAGGAAACUGGGGCUAAUACCGGAUAGGAGCUCCUGCUGCAUGGUGGGGGUUGGAAAGUUUCGGCGGUUGGGGAUGGACUCGCGGCUUAUCAGCUUGUUGGUGGGGUAGUGGCUUACCAAGGCUUUGACGGGUAGCCGGCCUGAGAGGGUGACCGGCCACAUUGGGACUGAGAUACGGCCCAGACUCCUACGGGAGGCAGCAGUGGGGAAUAUUGCACAAUGGGCGGAAGCCUGAUGCAGCAACGCCGCGUGCGGGAUGACGGCCUUCGGGUUGUAAACCGCUUUCGCCUGUGACGAAGCGUGAGUGACGGUAAUGGGUAAAGAAGCACCGGCUAACUACGUGCCAGCAGCCGCGGUGAUACGUAGGGUGCGAGCGUUGUCCGGAUUUAUUGGGCGUAAAGGGCUCGUAGGUGGUUGAUCGCGUCGGAAGUGUAAUCUUGGGGCUUAACCCUGAGCGUGCUUUCGAUACGGGUUGACUUGAGGAAGGUAGGGGAGAAUGGAAUUCCUGGUGGAGCGGUGGAAUGCGCAGAUAUCAGGAGGAACACCAGUGGCGAAGGCGGUUCUCUGGGCCUUUCCUGACGCUGAGGAGCGAAAGCGUGGGGAGCGAACAGGCUUAGAUACCCUGGUAGUCCACGCUGUAAACGGUGGGUACUAGGUGUGGGGUCCAUUCCACGGGUUCCGUGCCGUAGCUAACGCUUUAAGUACCCCGCCUGGGGAGUACGGCCGCAAGGCUAAAACUCAAAGGAAUUGACGGGGCCCCGCACAAGCGGCGGAGCAUGCGGAUUAAUUCGAUGCAACGCGUAGAACCUUACCUGGGUUUGACAUGGAUCGGGAGUGCUCAGAGAUGGGUGUGCCUCUUUUGGGGUCGGUUCACAGGUGGUGCAUGCCUGUCGUCAGCUCGUGUCGUGAGAUGUUGGGUUAAGUCCCGCAACGAGCGCAACCCUUGUUCACUGUUGCCAGCACGUUAUGGUGGGGACUCAGUGGAGACCGCCGGGGUCAACUCGGAGGAAGGUGGGGAUGACGUCAAGUCCUCAUGCCCCUUAUGUCCAGGGCUUCACGCAUGCUACAAUGGCUGGUACAGAGAGUGGCGAGCCUGUGAGGGUGAGCGAAUCUCGGAAAGCCGGUCUCAGUUCGGAUUGGGGUCUGCAACUCGACCUCAUGAAGUCGGAGUCGCUAGUAAUCGCAGAUCAGCAACGCUGCGGUGAAUACGUUCCCGGGGCUUGUACACACCGCCCGUCAAGUCAUGAAAGUUGGUAACACCCGAAGCCGGUGGCCUAACCGUUGUGGGGGAGCCGUCGAAGGUGGGACUGGUGAUUAGG
rnacentral:rRNA from 1 species